rnacentral:lncRNA from 1 species
GCCGUAUCUUCAGCCCCCAGGAGAAGCAGCGCGAGACUGUGGAGAGGUCCCCUCGCCAGCUGCGUGGGGCGGCCAGAGCGCAGUUAGCUAAAGGCUAUGGACGCCCGGCCCGCCCAGGCCAUCUUCAGGGUGCCCGGGAGCACCUGCGCGCCCCAGCCCAGCCCCGCCACCUUCAUGGAUUCUGCCUUCAGAAGCAUGUGAAAUAGAUUACUCCAUUUAAACCAGGAAAAUAGUAGCACGAUUUCCUGGCUCUCCAGACCUUUCCCAGAAUGGAUGCAAUCACGUUCACAGCGAGGAAGCAUCCACUUCCUAAUGAGCUCUCGGUAGACUUUGGUUUGCAGCUGGUGGGCGCCUUACCUGUGCAUUCUCUCACCACUAUGCCCAUGCUGCCAUGGGUGGUGGCCGAAGUACGAAGACUCAGCGGCCAGGGCUCCAAAAAGGAGCCUGGGAUCAAGCAAGUCCGGCUUUGGGUUUCACCCUCUGGACUGAGAUGUGAACCUGACCUGAGGAAAAGUCAACAAUGGGACCCGCUGAUCUGUUCCAGCAUCUUUGAGUGCAAGCCUCAGCGUGUUCACAAACUGAUUCACAACAGUCACGACCCCAGUUACUUUGCUUGUCUCAUUAAGGAGGAUGCUGCCAACAGGCAGAGCCUCUGCUAUGUGUUUAAAGCAGACGAUCAAACUAAAGUCUAAGGAUUCAACCCUUAUCCUGGAGCUAAUUCUGUGGUGGAAUUGACUAUACAAGUAACCUUUGCCUUGGGUCAGCUGGUCAACGGUGUCUACUGGGUGUGGGUAUCUUCUCCCACCCAACCAUGGUGCUCUUUACUAGGUGAACUGAAUUUCUUCUACCCAUGAAGACUUCAUAUUGAAUAAAUGCUAGGGCCCCUCUUCUGGAAGAUUCGUUAUCUCUGAACUUGGGCCAAAUACCAUAGGCAUAGCUUAUGACAAGACAGAAGUAUUUCUGGAAUAAGACACCCUGGACUUAUCCUACAUUUUCCCAUUUAAUAGCUAUGUAAUCUUGAACAGACUGUCUAACUGCUUAUAUCUGGUCUCUUAAAGCUAUUGUUAAUGCUCAAAUAUUUUAAGUGCUUGCAUUUUUAGUGCUUAAAUGUAUAGUUUAUAACUUAAUGUCUGGUACCUACUAAAUACAUACAUGUUAUCUGCUAGAGGAUAAACGCAAUAAAUAUUUUUGGAUAAACGAAUUAAUCAAUGAACUCCUCAGCUUUCAGCCCCACCACCUGUUAAUAAAGAGUUCUAGUUGUCUAAUAACUCCCCAGCUCUAAUGCCUUUGCUUGCUUGGUUGUGAUGAGAUUAGUAAUUAUGAUGUUCUUUGGUUACAUUAUUACUACUAUUAUGAGGAUGCUAAAAAUUGGAUCCAAAAAAGGGAAUGUUUCAGAAAUGACUGAAGUCCACAGAUAAGGUGUAUCUUGUGGUCAGCACAGUGU